CUGACUGCUAUCGGAUUGAUACUAAGCCAUGCGAGUCAUUGUAGUAAUACAAGGCAGACGGCUCAGUAACGCGUAGUCACCUAACCUAUGGACGGGAAUAACCUCGGGAAACUGAGUAUAAUGCCCGAUAGAACAUUAUGCCUGGAAUGGUUUAUGUUCCAAAUGAUUUAUCGCCGUAGGAUGGGACUGCGGCCUAUCAGUUUGUUGGUGAGGUAAUGGCCCACCAAGACUAUUACAGGUACGGGCUCUGAGAGGAGUGGCCCGGAGAUGGGUACUGAGACACGGACCCAGGCCCUAUGGGGCGCAGCAGGCGAGAAAACUUUGCAAUGUGCGAAAGCACGACAAGGUUAAUCCGAGUGGUUUCUGCUAAAGGAACCUUUUGUCAGUCCUAGAAACACUGAUGAAUAAGGGGUGGGCAAGUUCUGGUGUCAGCCGCCGCGGUAAAACCAGCACCUCAAGUGGUCAGGAUGAUUAUUGGGCCUAAAGCAUCCGUAGCCGGCUCUGUAAGUUUUCGGUUAAAUCUGUACGCUUAACAUACAGGCUGCCGGGAAUACUGCAGAGCUAGGGAGUGGGAGAGGUAGACGGUACUCGGUAGGAAGGGGUAAAAUCCCUUUGAUCUAUUGAUGACCACCUGUGGCGAAGGCGGUCUACCAGAACACGUCCGACGGUGAGGGAUGAAAGCUGGGGGAGCAAACCGGAUUAGAUACCCGGGUAG
rnacentral:rRNA from 1 species